CAGUAAUGUGUCUGAGUGUAUAACAGAGCUACAGCAAUAAUACUCCCAGUACUGUGUCUGAGUGUAUAACAGAGCUCCACAGCAAUAAUACUCCCAGUAAUGUGUCUGAGUGUAUAACAGAGCUACAGCAAUAAUACUCCCAGUAAUGUGUCUGAGUGUAUAACAGAGCUCCACAGCAAUAAUACUCCCAGUAAUGUGUCUGAGUGUAUAACAGAGCUCCACAGCAAUAAUACUCCCAGUA